AAGAAUUAUGUUGUUUAGGUGGCACCAUUACCCAGCUUUCCUCCACAUAUAGGAGUUAGUCCUAUGUAGUAUAUAGUUGUAGUUAUUUUGCAUUUUGAUCCAGAAAUAACCUUUUCAUUUUUCAGAAUUCUCAGUGAAAAUUAUUUGACUGAAUUACAUAAGGACUCAUUUGAAGGCUUGCUAUCCCUCCGAUAUUUAGAUUUGUCCUGCAAUAAAAUACAGUCUAUCGAAAGACAUACAUUUGAACCACUACCUGUUUUGCAGUUUAUAAAUCUUGGUUGCAAUUUACUCACAGAACUGAGCUUUGGAACGUUUCAGGCCUGGCAUGGAAUGCAGUUUUUACACAAGUUAAUUCUCAAUCAGAAUCCUUUGACAACAGUUGAAGAUUCUUAUCUUUUUUAAUUGCCAGCAUUAAAAUAUUUAGACAUGGGAAUAACACAAGUGUCACUUACAACAAUUGAAAGCAUCCUCAUGAUGACCCUUGAAUUGGAAAAAGUGAUCUUACCUAGUUGUAUGGCCUGCUGCCUCUGCCAAUUUAAAAAUAUUAUUGAGGUUGUCUGUAAGACAGUCAAGCUGUGUUGUGACAGUGGAUGCCUGACAGAAGUCACACGGUGUGGUGAGUCUCAAUUGUGGGAU